GAUGAAGAACGCAGCGAAAUGCGAUAAGUAAUGCGAAUUGCAGAAUUCAGUGAGUCAUCGAAUCUUUGAACGCACAUUGCGCCCUUUGGUAUUCCGAAGGGCAUGCCUGUUCGAGCGUCAUUUCAACCCUCAAGCCCCCGGGCUUGGUGUUGGGGAUCGGCGAGCCUCCGCGCCCGCCGUCCCCUAAAUCUAGUGGCGGUCUCGCUGUAGCUUCCUCUGCGUAGUAGCACACCUCGCACUGGGAAACAGCGCGGCCACGCCGUUAAACCCCCAACUUCUGAACGUUUGACCUCGGAUCAGGUAGGAAUACCCGCUGAACUUAAGCAUAUCAAUAAACGGAGGA
rnacentral:misc_RNA from 1 species